rnacentral:lncRNA from 1 species
CUUACGUUAAAAUUUGGAAAGAUUGCACUGUAAAGCACGUUAUAAAGAGAGGAAGAAUUAUUAUUAUUAUUUUUUUCAAAAGCUCAAGAAUUAAGAGCCAAUCGCUUCCUCAAAAGUAAUAAAUAGAAUCAUAGAACAAUGAAAUAGCAUCCAAAGCAGGUAUUUUUCUUCUUCUUUUUUAAUAACUUGCAUAUUGGAAUUGAAAUUUCAGAGAAAGAGAGUUCUACUUUUAAUGACAUACAUAAUCUUCAAAAGCUAGAACGUCAAAAAAAAAAAAAAAAAAAAAACAAUGGAGCGAAGAUCAGAUUUGCCAGCAAGAUUUUUCAAAGUCAUUUUACCCUCAACCACUAUCCAACACAAACUUGUAAGUUUUACCUUUUAUUUCUCCAUGUUCUGCGUGAUAUGGCUUAUGAUUUUUCAAGAUUAGCUUUUAAUGUUGGAGAUAGUUAUGUUCAGAUACUCUGGUAUGUCCUCUUUGCAGUUCAGUUUAAUCUUGGGGAUGAACUGCAGAGAAAGUCGUCCCAAACAAUCCCGUCCUAGUUUCAUCCCUAACGUGUAAAGACUCUGAAGAUUUGGGUCUGUAUAGGGUGGGCAUUUGUGGAUGCUGCCCCCAUUAUAGUUUGUUUCUUGAACUCUGAUGUGGGCUUUUGGGGCAGUGCUAUGAAUCUUGAAUUUGGCGUUGGACAAGAGUAGAGGUGGACAAGUAAAAAUGAUCAAGACUUGAAUUUUAUUGUUUUUGAAUCUGGGAAAUUUCGUUUAUACAUAUGAUAAAUGUCACAUUAUUUCUUUGGUAAGAGAUGGGAACAUUGGAUAUAUAAGCUUUCUGAAGCAGCAGCACAAGGGAAUGCGAAUACUUUGAAGAAGCUGCUUCAAGAAGAUCCAAUAACUUUUAAUAGAUAUAGUUAACAGUUUCUCCGAAACUCUUUCACACUUAGCAGCAGGAAGAUGCAUUAUAAAUCUUACUCACUAUAUUAUUUGAUAGCUCACCGUUUUGUACG